rnacentral:misc_RNA from 1 species
GAACUUGCCCAUCACAGUGAAAGUAGAUGUGUAUAGCUUUGGUGUGUUACUGCUAGAGAUUAUUUGUUGUCGAAAAGGUGUAGAUAACAAAAUAGGCCGACCAGAUGAAGCAAUUUUAACUGAAUGGGCUUAUGAAUGCUACUCUGAAAAGAAGCUUGAGGCUUUAGUUGCAUGUGAUAAGGAUACCUUUGAAGACCGAGGGAAACUGGAGAGAUAUGUGAGGAUUGCCAUUUGGUGCUCCUGGUGUACAUAAUAAUUAGCCAUAUCUCCAAGAAGAUCCAUCUUUAAGGCCUACCAUGAGGAAGGUCUCGCAGAUGCUUGAAGGAGUUAGCGAAGUACCUGCCCCACCAUGUCCUUGGCCAAUUCAGGUAACAUAACUAGUUGAAACCUGUUCUUGUUGCUUCCCAAUCAUUCACUAUUAGUCAUUACUAGUAUCUGUUACGUUCACCGAUUUCCUCAAAAGAGAGUAAUUGAUAACUAUGUUUGCUAUUCACUUUCAAUGUUUCCAGGAUAUCUUGUACACAGAUGUAAGUAUUUUGUAAGUUUCAGGUGUCAGUAAGUUCUGUUUUACACCUAAGCUUCAGGUGAAAAUUAACAUGAAAUUUCUGCUAAAAUAAUUCAUGUACGUAGAUUUU